GCGGCAGGCCUAACACAUGCAAGUCGAACGGUAACAGGAAACAGCUUGCUGUUUCGCUGACGAGUGGCGGACGGGUGAGUAAUGUCUGGGAAACUGCCUGAUGGAGGGGGAUAACUACUGGAAACGGUAGCUAAUACCGCAUAACGUCGCAAGACCAAAGAGGGGGACCCUCGGGCCUCUUGCCAUCGGAUGUGCCCAGAUGGGAUUAGCUUGUUGGUGGGGUAACGGCUCACCAAGGCGACGAUCCCUAGCUGGUCUGAGAGGAUGACCAGCCACACUGGAACUGAGACACGGUCCAGACUCCUACGGGAGGCAGCAGUGGGGAAUAUUGCACAAUGGGCGCAAGCCUGAUGCAGCCAUGCCGCGUGUAUGAAGAAGGCCUUCGGGUUGUAAAGUACUUUCAGCGGGGAGGAAGGGAGUAAAGUUAAUACCUUUGCUCAUUGACGUUACCCGCAGAAGAAGCACCGGCUAACUCCGUGCCAGCAGCCGCGGUAAUACGGAGGGUGCAAGCGUUAAUCGGAAUUACUGGGCGUAAAGCGCACGCAGGCGGUUUGUUAAGUCAGAUGUGAAAUCCCCGGGCUCAACCUGGGAACUGCAUCUGAUACUGGCAAGCUUGAGUCUCGUAGAGGGGGGUAGAAUUCCAGGUGUAGCGGUGAAAUGCGUAGAGAUCUGGAGGAAUACCGGUGGCGAAGGCGGCCCCCUGGACGAAGACUGACGCU
rnacentral:rRNA from 1 species